UGGGGAAUAUUGCACAAUGGGCGAAAGCCUGAUGCAGCGACGCCGCGUGAGCGAAGAAGGCCUUCGGGUCGUAAAGCUCUGUCCUAUGGGACGAUAAUGACGGUACCAAGGAGUAAGCCCCGGCUAACUACGUGCCAGCAGCCGCGGUAAUACGUAGGGGGCGCGCGUUGUCCGGAAUGACUGGGCGUAAAGGGUACGUAGGCGGCCAGGUAAGUCAGGUGUGAAAGUCUAGGGAUCAACCCUAGUGAGCACUUGAAACUGCGUGGCUUGAGUCGAGGAGAGGAAGGUGGAAUUCCUGGUGUAGAGGUGAAAUGCGUAGAUAUCAGGAGGAAUACCAGGGGCGAAGGCGACCUUCUGGCCUUGGACUGACGCUGAGGUAAGAAAGCGUGGGGAGCAAACAGG
rnacentral:rRNA from 1 species